GCCAUAUAAAAUAAAUUCCUUGAUUCUCAUCACCGCCCGACGAUAUUUUGGUUUCCGUGUUGAUAUAUUUUUGUAUUUUGUUAUAAAAUAUAAAUUUACCGCCCGACCGAGCAUCUUCAGAGAUUUAGUUAUUUUUAUAUUUUGUAUUGGAAUUUUUGCGAUAUAAAAUUGUUUUAUCGUUAAUAUUGCAACAUGUUAAGGGAUGCUUGGAAUACUGAAGGG
rnacentral:lncRNA from 1 species